AAUUUAAAAUGUUAUGUAUAAAUUAGUUUUUCGUGAGUCCGUGUAGUCGCACGGUAGCGCGCGCCAGGUCUCCCAUACCGCGCACUUUGGCAGCGCUGAACGCGCUGCUGAAGGAGUCCCCGCGCUGUGACAUAUUUG